GAUGAACGCUGGCGGCGUGCCUAAUACAUGCAAGUCGAGCGAACAGACGAGGAGCUUGCUCCUCUGACGUUAGCGGCGGACGGGUGAGUAACACGUGGAUAACCUACCUAUAAGACUGGGAUAACUUCGGGAAACCGGAGCUAAUACCGGAUAAUAUAUUGAACCGCAUGGUUCAAUAGUGAAAGACGGUUUUGCCGUCACUUAUAGAUGGAUCCGCGCCGCAUUAGCUAGUUGGUAAGGUAACGGCUUACCAAGGCAACGAUGCGUAGCCGACCUGAGAGGGUGAUCGGCCACACUGGAACUGAGACACGGUCCAGACUCCUACGGGAGGCAGCAGUAGGGAAUCUUCCGCAAUAGGCGAAAGCUUGACGGAGCAACGCCGCGUGAGUGAUGAAGGUCUUCGGAUCGUAAAACUCUGUUAUUAGGGAAGAACAAAUGUGUAAGUAACUAUGCACGUCUUGACGGUACCUAAUCAGAAAGCCACGGCUAACUACGUG
rnacentral:rRNA from 1 species